rnacentral:lncRNA from 1 species
UUGUGCGUGCAAGAUGUAGCUGCUGACCGGCCGAAUAUUUCGACAGUUUUAUCGAUGCUUGGCUCCGAGAUUCUAGAGCUGCCUUGUCCUAAGCAACCUGCUUUUUUCGGGACCCAGAGAUCUUCGGAAACGGAAUAUUCUCGUGGGAAUCUAAGUAAGUGCUCUCGGAACGAAAUGUCGGUGACUGUUGUUGAAGGCCGGUAGAACUAAAAAAGUUGCUCGAUUCAUUGCAUACAUUAUUUUCAUACUAGGAAAUUCAUUGAGUUUGUUUCGAUGAUAAUUCGUACUACAAUGAAUUUUGAGUUUGUACUCUCGAUCGAUAUAAAUUUUUUUUUGUAAUUAUGAUGAAUUUCAUAUUCGUACUGUUCUUUUCGAAACUUUUCGAGGAAAAUGUCGAGAUCUAUACACACGUGUGUUUGUGUGAAAAAAUGGUAAUUUCAAUCUCUAAACCUCAUAUUAAUGAAAAAAAAAAACAAAAGAAUAACGAAUGAAGAAUUUAUUUAUUUUCAUAUGCAACCCUUUACAGUAAAACAAGAAAACAAGAAUAUCGAAAUUUUUUACCUUUUUCUUCGUCGAUCCCCGCGCUGCUCGAGUUCGCGCUCAGCCACCGUCAAGUUUUCGACCGCCGGAAAAUGUGCCCGACGACGACUCCAUUAAUAUGGAAGAAGAAGAAGGCAGGUCUAGUGGGGUUUUGGAUUAUUGGGGUUUGUGUUUUAACUAACGGAUAUUUUUUUAGUUUUAUAAUUGAUUUUCGGUUAAUAUAAUAAAACGGCGCCGUAUUUGUCGCUUUUACUUCAUUUAAUUUGAUUUUUACCCCUACACUUUGAUUUAAUUACUGUUCUUCAUGAACUUAUCUUCUAUUUUUAUUUUUUUUAAUUAAUUAUUUUUAGCUUCUCUAUUUAAACACGGAAGUUCAAAAAUAUCCCAAUACUUAUAUUUAUACAACUCCACUUCUCAUCAAUAGAUGAUGGUGAUUAUCUUGAUCUAAAGUACGAUUAACUUCUAUGAUCUCCUACCAAAUAUAUACAACUAUACUAAUGGGAGUACUCUAGAAAAUCUUCUAGAAUCUUCUACUCUUGAGCCCCUUCGACUUAGGCUCGUUGAGCAGACUCGGAGGAAGGCCGAUGAAAAGGCAGAUUUCAAUGUCAUCAGAAUGUUUAAUAGUAUAUCACACCACCAACGAAUACAUGAAAUCACUUCAAAUUUGUUGGCAACAAUCGGCGAGACGAUGAUUAAUGGAUGAUAAAUUGGAAAUAAAACGGUUUUAAAAUUUAAUAUAAUAUUGCUAGAUAUUAUUCGUAAAUACUCAAAACAUAUAUAAAAAGAUACUUGAACAUGAUUAUAUCUCAAUCAUUUAUAUAUCCUAUCACAUAAUAUAACUAUAAUAAUAAUAAGAUUAUUUAUAAUAAAAACCCUUACAAAAUACAAAUAAAAUGAAAAUUUUCUUCAUUCAAAAAUUAUGAUUGAAUAUUGUAAAGCACAAAUCCUUUUUUCUUCCUUUGAAAGGGCCCCGCUGCUUUCACUGUUUUUGUCAUUUUUACCCCCAUUUUACUUCAUUUAAUUUGAUUUUUUACCCCUACACUUUGAUUUAAUUACUGUUCUUCAUGAACUAAUCUCCUUACAUGUGUCCAUCACCUAAUUUGCAUAUCCGGAUUGCGCCAAAUCUCAUUAAUAAAAUACGGCCUACCUGCUUCUGGCCCAGGUUCAAGGCCCAAGUCCAACUUUACCCUCAAAACGUCGCCGUAUGCUUAUCUUCUAUUUUUUUUCUGGAAUGCUAAAUCACACAUUAAUUUUAUCAAAUCAUGCACACAAUUGAAAAUAUCUCUCUCUAUAAAAUCUUCUCUUCUCCUUCUCCACCCUUCUUUUUUUUCUGCUAACUUUUUCACAAAGUCACACAUAAAAAACGUCCCUAGCAUUUCAAGUUCGAAUUGGAGAAAAAUCUUCACGUGUUCAAACUAAAAUAAAGUUGGAAUUUGAAGAAAAAAUUCGAAUCGAUAUGAAUUUGAAUAAUUAAAAAGGCAUAAUGAAAUUGAAUAAAUACUAAAUAAAACUGAACUAUUUUUUUUAUGAUUAUUCACGUGAAAAAUUAACGAAUUUUGAGUGAUUUGGAUAAAAUUAUCAUAUAGAGAAGUCAGAGAGAAUAUGAGUAUUUCUUUUUUUAAUUUAUGUGUGGGAUUUAGUAAAUUUUAGUGUGGGAUUUAGCACAUCCCUUUCUUUUUAUUAAUUACUUUUAGCUUCUCUAUUUAAACACGGAAGUUCAAAAAAAAUCCCAAAUUACGUCUACAAAUCGCCGACGGAACUGAACUAGGGCAGACAACCGGAGAGUGGACCCCUCAUAUAUGCAUGGGGCAGAUGUUUUUGGAGGAGGUCAGAGGUUGCCGGUGGUACCGGGCGGCGGCGAAUGCCGAUUUGGUGUGGCGUCCGAUGCGGGCGGCGCUAGUACUGGUAUUGAUCAUUGAUGAGGGGUUUGGGGCAGGAAAAAGGGGGAAGAAAGUGUAAAAGGUAAUUUUUUUUAUUUUUUUAUUUUUUAAUUUAAAGAGAGAAGAAUGCUUUGGACCUGUUUACAAGGUAAUGCUUGUUACAUACAAUGGUUCUUCUGCAUGAACACGUGAUUUUCGUUAUCGCGUACUACAGAGGGUUUGUCAUUUUUCUUUUCGUCGCUAUUUUUCAGGGUGAGUUACUUAACGGACAGUUUGUAGCGGUGAAAAGGCUUUCAAGAAAAUCUGGACAAGGGCUUGAAGAGUUCAGAAAUGAGACAGAACUGAUUGACAAACUCCAGCACAGAAAUCUUGUCGAAAACGACGAGAAGAUAUUAGUCUACGAAUACAUGCCCAACAAAAGCUUGGAUUUUUUUCUCUUCGGUGUGGGCCAGUUCGUAAACAUUCUGAUUUUUUUUUUUUUUUAUUUGUUAUCAUUUGCAAGAAAUCGUCGUUUAUAAUUUGUGAAAAUGUAGAGCCGAGCAAGAAAGAGGUAUUGGAUUGGAAAAGACGUGUUCGUAUAAUCCAAGGCAUUGCUCAAGGGCUUCUAUAUCUGCACCAUUAUUCCCGAUUAAGAAUUGUUCACAGAGACCUAAAAGCUAGUAAUAUUCUCCUCGAUGCUGAAAUGAACCCCAAAAUCUCCGAUUUCGGAAUGGCGAGAAUCUUUGGAGGAAACGAAUUGCAAGCAAAUACUAAACGAAUUGUCGGUACUUAGUAAGUGAAAACGCAUCUUCUUCGUGCAUAAAAUCGUUUUCUUGAAUUGAUGGUUAUUUAUUUAUUUAUUUUCCCACAUAAAUUCAGUGGUUAUAUGUCACCGGGAUAUGCAAUGGAAGGACUCUUUCCGGUAAAAUCUGAUGUUUUUGCCUUUGGAGUAUUGAUGCUCGAGAUUACUAGCGGACAGAAAAACACUGGUUUUUACGGUUCUGCUUAUCUUAGUCUUCUUGGAUAUGUAAGUGCUAAUUCCAAUAAAUUAUCGAAUUUUAUACGAAAAAGAUAAAGCAAAAUUUUAUAUGGAUUUUGUUGCGGGUUUUUAUUUUAGGCUUGGAACUUGUGGGAAAACGAACGUGGGCUUGACCUCGUUGAUCCUGUAAUAGAAAUUGUGGAAUGAGGAGAAAAUGGUAAAUUUAAUUGAUCCAACAAUAAAUGGCUCCGGAAUAUUGGAAAGUGAAAUAGUGAGAUACGCAAAUGUAGGUUUAUUGUGCGUGCAAGAUGUAGCUGCUGACAGGCCGAAUAUUUCGACAGUUUUAUCGAUGCUUGGCUCUGAUAUUCUAGAGCUGCCUUGUCCUAAGAAACCGGCUUUUUUCGGGACCCAGAGAUCUUCGGAAACGGAAUAUUCUCGGGGGAAUCUAAGUAAGUGCUCUCGGAACGAAAUGUCGGUGACUACUGUUGAAGGCCGGUAGAUCUAAAAAAAUUACUCGAUUCAUUAGUUGCAUACG